rnacentral:misc_RNA from 1 species
GACCCGCGAACUUGUCUUUUACCAUCGGGGAACACGGGGUCCUCCCCUUGCUUCCCCGCAUCCGGGUGGGUGCACGGAGCCUCUUCCGGGGGGCAACGUGUUCACUCGCUCGUCGAACAACGAACCCCGGCGCAAACCGCGCCAAGGAACUUGAACAAAGAGAGCACGUCCCUGCCCGUUCGCGGGCGGUGCUGGCGUUGCAUCUUUCACAAAAC